CUUGCAGAGAACAAUGUUUUGUUUGAAGGAAUUCUUUUGAAACCAAGCAUGGUUACUCCUGGAGCUGAGAGCAAAGACAAAGCAAGCCCUCAGACAGUUGCUGAGUACACUCUUUCUCUUCUCAAAAGAAGAAUCCCUCCUGCUGUUCCUGGAAUCAUGGCAAGUCAUUACAACAUAUCUUAAACUUUGAACGCUUAUUACCCUUAGAUGAUAUAAAUUAAAUUUAUCUUCCUCUAUUAACUCAAACUUUUAGAAUAAUUGGUGAUUUAAGAUGGUAUAAAAGGAUGUCAUCUAGAAAGUCAUGCGUAUUAGUUAUUAGCUCAACGUUUUAGGUAUAACGGUGAUUUGAGAAUUAAGUUGAUGAAUUGAAUGUGGGUUGUUUUUCUGUGGUUGUUGUGGAACAGUUUUUAUCAGGUGGGCAAUCUGAGAUAGAGGCUACAUUGAACUUGAAUGCGAUGAACCAAGCACCAAACCCAUGGCAUGUGUCCUUCUCAUAUGCUAGAGCUCUCCAAAACACUUGCUUGAAGACAUGGGGUGGACUACCAGAAAAUGUGAAGAUCGCACAGGAUGCUCUGAUUCAACGAGCCAAGUCGAACUCCCUCGCCCAGCUUGGGAAGUACACCGGUGAGGGUGAGUCCGAAGAAGCCAACCAGGAUAUGUACGUCAAGGGCUACACAUACUAAGCUUUUCUAUAGAUCAAGAAGAU
rnacentral:lncRNA from 1 species